UCGACUGUGUGUAAGGGGUGGGUGGGGCGCGGCGGGUGAAAAGCCAUUAAGCCAUUUGGACUUUGAUGGAGAUAAUCUUUCCGCAGCCCCAGAGGCUGUAACUGAAACACCCCCCUCGAGAGAAGUUGUGAAACUUUGAUUCUCGCCGUGUGCAGAAGUCCUGAGGAUUCCAACACCAUCACCCUUUAGGCGCAGAGGAUAGCUGCCAAAUUAACGUACCUAAGAUACGUGCUCCAGGACCCAAGGGUUCCCAGUCACCCGGAAGAUAAAACUUUGAAUUCCCUGCUACUCUUUGGAACAUGCCCUUUCCUUAUCUAUUCCUCUCAGAAUCGAACCUUCAAAAUCCAGAUUCAAUUCACACUUCCUUCGUGGAGUCUUCCUUCUUUGACCAGAACAGCUUUGUUCAGAUACUGGCAAAUAUUUGGUUAGGAAGAUCUGCUUCUACUUGCUACCCCACCCACAACAUUUAAAAAAAAAAAAGAAAAGAAAAGAAAACUCAUUGAGAAUUGUCUUGGGUAAACAACUUACCAAGGUUAUAUUUUAAAGUAUAAUAAAUAUUUUCCAAAUAUGGAAUAGAAAAUACAAUUGAAAGAAAAACCCCACAGGUCUGUGUUGCUGCAUUUGGACCACCCAGAGCUUCUGCUCGGAAGGAAGACACCUGGAAAAGCAGGGCUUGGAGUAUGGCAGCUUCGUAGUUUCUCCAGAACCAAGCCUAACCAGUACUGACUGGACUGAGCAACAGCAGUCCUGACAGUGGUCUCCCAUUGUCAGUCUCCUAUGGCACAGUCCAGUCCUUAAGGGGAAGGUCAUCACUGUAGUCCAUGCAUGACACUCUGCAAUAUUUAAAACUCAAGGUCACCAUCAACUGAUGAAUGGAUAAACAAAUGUGGUGUAUCCAUACAAUGGCACAUUAUUCUUCAACGAAUGCAGUACUGAUGCUUGCUACAACAGGGAUGAACCUUGAACACAUGCAACGUGAAAGAAGCUGGCUGCAAAGGACCACAUUGAACAUGAUUCCAUUUAUAUGAAAUGUCCAGAACAGGCCAAUCGACAGAGACAGAAAAGAGAACUCAGAUGAAAAUAAUGGCGAACAAGUGCGUCAGCAUCAGUUAAACCCGCCAGACCUAGAGCAAAUCUCACUGACUUAGGCCAGAAGCCACACCAAUCUUCGGGAAAUUUUCUGCCAUCAAAGUUCUAUUUAUAUGACCACAUAGUGAACUUCGGGGAUUUCAGAUCCAUAAAACAUAUGCUUAGGUACCUAAAGAGACCGUCUCUCUGGUAAAUAAAAACAGACAUGGAUAUUCACUGCAGUAUUGUUUUUAAUAAUAAAAACAAACCUAAAUGCCUAUCAAUAGGGGAUUAGUUAAAUACAUUAUUUUAUGAUACACCUAUUUACUGUAUAAUGGAACACAUAUUAAAUAGUCAUUAAAAAGAAUGAAGAAGCACUCUAUGAACUUAUAUAAAACGAUCUCCAAUGUAUACUGCUAAGUGGAAAAGAUGUGCAUAUAAUUUUCUACAAUGGAUGGGGGAGGGUGAGGAGGCAACAAUGUGAAGGCUUGCAAACAUUAACUAUGUGUGGAAGGAGAUAUAAGAAAUGAAUAAAUAGUUGCCUCCAGAGUGGCAUCUGGGUGACUGGGAGGUGGGAAAAGGAGGGAGACGUACUCUUCCCUGUAUACACUUUGUACAUGUUGAAUUUGUUCCAUGCACGUAUAUUACCUAUUCCAAGUUAAUAAAAUAAAGCGACCAACCGGCUAAAUCAA